rnacentral:ncRNA from 1 species
CACACACACACACACACACAUAUAUAUAUAUAUUCCUAUAGUAGUGACGAACGAAAUGGGAGCAGCCUAAACCGUGAAAACGAGGUUGUGGGAGAGCACAAUAUAAGCUUUGUGCUGCUAGGCGAAGCAGUUGAGUCCUAUACCCUAUAUGGUGAGAGUCCAGUAGCCAAAAGCAUCAUUGGAUUACACUCUAACCUGAGUAGCAUGAGGCACGUGGAAUCCCGUGUGAAUCAGCAAGGACCACCUUGCAAGGAUAAAUACUUUUGGGUGACCAAUAGUGAAGUAUUAUCGUGAUGGAAAAGUGAAAGAAUCCCCAUCAAGAAGUGAAAUAGAACAUGAAAUCGUAAGCUC